rnacentral:rRNA from 1 species
ACGGGUGAGUAAUGUCUGGGGAUCUGCCCGAUAGAGGGGGAUAACCACUGGAAACGGUGGCUAAUACCGCAUGACGUCGCAAGACCAAAGAGGGGGACCUUCGGGCCUCUCACUAUCGGAUGAACCCAGAUGGGAUUAGCUAGUAGGCGGGGUAACGGCCCACCUAGGCGACGAUCCCUAGCUGGUCUGAGAGGAUGACCAGCCACACUGGAACUGAGACACGGUCCAGACUCCUACGGGAGGCAGCAGUGGGGAAUAUUGCACAAUGGGCGCAAGCCUGAUGCAGCCAUGCCGCGUGUAUGAAGAAGGCCUUCGGGUUGUAAAGUACUUUCAGCGGGGAGGAAGGCGAUAAGGUUAAUAACCUUGUCGAUUGACGUUACCCGCAGAAGAAGCACCGGCUAACUCCGUGCCAGCAGCCGCGGUAAUACGGAGGGUGCAAGCGUUAAUCGGAAUUACUGGGCGUAAAGCGCACGCAGGCGGUCUGUUAAGUCAGAUGUGAAAUCCCCGGGCUUAACCUGGGAACUGCAUUUGAAACUGGCAGGCUUGAGUCUCGUAGAGGGGGGUAGAAUUCCAGGU